rnacentral:rRNA from 1 species
CCUACGGGAGGCUGCAGUGGGGGAUAUUGCACAAUGGGGGGAACCCUGAUGCAGCGACGCCGCGUGGGUGAAGAAGCGCCUCGGCGCGUAAAGCCCUGUCAGCAGGGAAGAAAAUGACGGUACCUGACGAAGAAGCCCCGGCUAACUACGUGCCAGCAGCCGCGGUAAUACGUAGGGGGCAAGCGGUCUCCGGAUUUACUGGGUGUAGAGGGGGCGGAGACGGCGAUGCAAGCCAGGAGUGAAAGCCCGGGGCCCAACCCCGGGACUGCUCUUGGAGCUGCGUGGCUGGAGUGCAGGAGGGGCAGGCGGAAUUCCUGGUGUAGCGGUGAAAUGCGUAGAUAUCAGGAGGAACACCGGUGGCGAAGGCGGCCUGCUGGACUGCAACUGACGUUGAGGCCCGAAAGCGUGGGGAGCAAACAGGAUUAGAUACCCGGGUAGUC